rnacentral:tRNA from 1 species
GCCCAGGUGGUGAAAUCGGUAGACACAAGGGAUUUAAAAUCCCUCGCCCGAAAGGGUGUGCGGGUUCAAGUCCCGCCCUGGGCACCA